ACGACAGUAGCCUAGUGGACAUGGCAUCUGCCCGGUAAGCGGAACACAGUGGGUUCGAUUCCCAUCCCUGGACACU
rnacentral:tRNA from 1 species